rnacentral:snRNA from 10 species
GUCCCCUACCCGGGGACCAUAUAUUAAAUUGAUUUUUGGAACUGGGAGAUGGAAAAGGGGCUUGCCCCGUCCACUCCACGCAUCGACCUGGUAUUGCAGUACCUCCAGGACCGGUGC